AAUAUUAACUAGAAUUAACUAUUUAUUAACGACUUGUUAAAGUAUUAACGGCAUGAAAUGGGCAUAUGUCUGAUUAGCUAGUUGGUGUGAUAAAGGCUCACCAAGGCAAUGAUCAGUAGGGGACCUGAGAAGGUGUACCCCCACAUUGGUACUGAGACACGGACCAAACUUUUACGGGAGGCAGCAGUGAGGAAUAUUGGUCAAUGGAGGCAACUCUGAACCAGUUACGCCGCGUGCAGUAAGAAGGCCAGAAAGGUUGUAAACUGCUUUUGUAUAUGAAUAAAAAAUUCUACUUGUAGAAAGAAUUGAAGGUAAUAUACGAAUAAGUAUCGGCUAACUCUGUGCCAGCAGCCGCGGUAAGACAGAGGAUAUAAGCGUUAUCCGGAAUUAUUGGGUUUAAAGGGUGCGUAGGUUGUUUUUUAAGUCAGUAGUGAAAUCUGACAGCUUAACUGUCAAACUGCUACUGAUACUGUAAAACUAGAGUGGGGUAGGAGUAACUGGAAUGUGUGGUGUAGCGGUGAAAUGCAUAGAUAUCACACAGAACACCAAUAGCGAAAGCAGGUUACUAGAUCUCAACUGACACUGAGGCACGAAGGCAUGGGUAGCAAACAGGAUUAGAUACCCUGGUAGUCCACGCAGUAAACUAUGAUCACUAACUGUUGGAUAGAAAAUAAAAGAAAAUAUUCAGUGGUUAAGCUAAAGUGAUAAGUGAUCCACCUGAGAAGUACGAUCGCAAGAUUGAAACUCAAAGGAAUUGACGGGGGCUUGCACAAUUGGUGGAACAUGUGGUU
rnacentral:rRNA from 1 species